UGCGUAGGCGGUUUGGUAAGUCUGAUGUGAAAUCUAUGGGCUCAACUCAUAGUCUGCAUCGGAAACUGCCGGGCUUGAGUGUGGGAGAGGUGAGUGGAAUUUCCGGUGUAGCGGUGAAAUGCGUAGAUAUCGGAAGGAACACCUGUGGCGAAAGCGGCUCACUGGACCACAACUGACGCUGAUGCACGAAAGCUAGGGGAGCAAACAGGAUUAGAUACCCUGGUAGUCCUAGCCCUAAACGAUGACUGCUUGGUGUGACGGGUACCCAAUCCCGCCGUGCCGUAGCUAACGCGUUAAGCAGUCCGCCUGGGGAGUACGGUCGCAAGGCUAGAA
rnacentral:rRNA from 1 species